rnacentral:rRNA from 1 species
AUUGAACGCUGGCGGCAGGCCUAACACAUGCAAGUCGAACGCGUGGCGGACGUGUGAGUAAUUUCUGGGAAACUGCCUGAUGGAGGGGGAUAACUACUGGAAACGUUAGCUAAUACCGCAUACCAUCGGAUGUGCCCAGAUGGGAUUAGCUAGUAGUUGGGGUAAAGUCUAACCUAGGCGACGCUCCCUAGCUGGUCUGAGAGGAUGACCAGCCACACUGGAACUGAGACACGGUCCAGACUCCUACGGGAGGCAGCAGUGGGGAAGAUUGCACAAUGGGCGCAAGCCUGAUGCAGCCAUGCCGCGUGGAUGAAGAAGGCCUUCGGGUUGUAAAGUACUUUCAGCGGGGAGGCGUUACCCGCAGAAGAAGCACCGGCUAACUCCGUGCCAGCAGCCGCGGUAAUUC